rnacentral:rRNA from 1 species
AUUGAACGCUGGCGGCAGGCUUAACACAUGCAAGUCGAGCGGAGCGAGGGUGCUUGCACCUUAGCUUAGCGGCGGACGGGUGAGUAAUGCUUAGGAAUCUGCCUAUUAGUGGGGGACAACAUUCCGAAAGGAAUGCUAAUACCGCAUACGCCCUACGGGGAAAGCAGGGGAUCUUCGGACCUUGCGCUAAUAGAUGAGCCUAAGUCGGAUUAGCUAGUUGGUGGGUAAAGGCCUACCAAGGCGACGAUCUGUAGCGGGUCUGAGAGGAUGAUCCGCCACACUGGGACUGAGACACGGCCCAGACUCCUACGGGAGGCAGCAGUGGGGAAUAUUGGACAAUGGGCGCAAGCCUGAUCCAGCCAUGCCGCGUGUGUGAAGAAGGCCUUUUGGUUGUAAAGCACUUUAAGCGAGGAGGAGGCUACUUAGAUUAAUACUCUAGGAUAGUGGACGGUACUCGCAGAAUAAGCACCGGCUAACGUCUGUGCCAGCAGCC